rnacentral:rRNA from 1 species
UCCUACGGGAGGCAGCAGUGAGGAAUAUUGGUCAAUGGGAGAGAUCCUGAACCAGCCAAGCCGCGUGAGGGAAGACGGCCCUAUGGGUUGUAAACCUCUUUUGUCGGAGAACAAAGCCCGGGACGUGUCCCGGACUGCGUGUAUCCGAAGAAAAAGCAUCGGCUAACUCCGUGCCAGCAGCCGCGGUAAUACGGAGGAUGCGAGCGUUAUCCGGAUUUAUUGGGUUUAAAGGGUGCGUAGGCGGUCCGUUCAGUCAGCGGUCAAAUUGCGGGGCUCAACCCCGUCGAGCCGUUGAAACUGGCAGA